rnacentral:rRNA from 1 species
UUGUAUAAUGGGUCAGCGACUUAUUGUCUGUAGCAAGGUUAACCGAUUAGGGGAGCCGUAGGGAAACCGAGUCUUAAUAGGGCGCGAGUUGCAGGCAUUAGACCCGAAACCCGGCGAUCUAUGCAUGACCAGGAUGAAGGUGCGGUAACACGCACUGGAGGUCCGAACCGAUUAACGUUGAAAAGUUACCGGAUGAGUUGUGUUUAGGGGUGAAAGGCCAAUCAAGCCGGGAAAUAGCUGGUUCUCCGCGAAAACUAUUGAGGUAGUGCCUCGAGCGGACACCAUAGGGGGUAGAGCACUGGAUGGUUGCG